ACGGCCGCGGGAUAUUCCACCGUGCAAAGGUAGCAUAAUCACUUGUCUCCUAAAUAGAGACUAGUAUGAAUGGCCAAAUGAAGAUUUACCUGUCUCUUGAAGCCCAUCUAUGAAACUGAUCUUUCAGUACAAAAGCUGAAAUUUAAACACAAGACGAAAAGACCCUGUGGAACUUAAAGCCACAGCCAACAAAAUGGACCUAUUGCUUUUAGUUGGGGCAACUUUGGAAAAAAACAAAACUUCCAAUAAACUAUCUAGGCAGACACGCCGACAUAAAAUAAACUAGACCCAGUAUAACUGAUUAAAGAAAAAAGCUACCCCAGGGAUAACAGCGCCAUCCCCUCAUAGAGCCCCCAUCGACGAGCGGGGUUUACGACCU
rnacentral:rRNA from 1 species